AGGAAACGCGGAGAGUGGAUGCGGAAGGGGGGAAGUUCAAGAAAGUGCCCCAGCACUGAAGAUAUGGGUGUUUCCUAACCGGGCCCCCAGCUGGGCAGCACAGCAGGAGAAAAAAGACCCACCACGUGGGGGCUUCAUCAGGGAACAUUACAACUCUAAGAUGAGGCGAAGAUCCCAAAAGCUUCCAGAGAGAACAGAAGCAGAUCACUUAUGAAU
rnacentral:lncRNA from 1 species